AUUUCGGAAUUAUCGUUUAAUUAUAAGUGCAUCUGAUGUUGCUGUGUUAUUUUAUGGAGAGUUUCAGGUUCUUUGAGCACCUGAGUUACUUUGUGUGUGUGUUUAUUCGCGUAGCUAAGCCAAAUAUUGUGAAAAAGUGAUGAAAACUGAAGAUGUGUGUAGGCUGCCCACAAGACUUUCCGCAUUAAGACCAAGUUGGCAAAGAAAAUGAAACAGAACAGGCCUAUUCCCCCAUGGAUUAGGAACCGUACUGGAAACAAGAUCAGAUAUAAUGCCAAGCGCCGCCACUGGAGGAGGACUAAGCUCAAGCUGUAAGCUGCUGCUUGAUUGUCCUUUCAUAAAUUCUAGUGGAGAAAUGUGUUAAGGCUAAAGCUAAUAAAACACAGGCUACAA